UCCCGGUUAGCUCAGCCGGCAGAGCGCUUGGCUGUUAACCAAGAUGUCGCUGGUUCGAUCCCAGCACCGGGAG